rnacentral:rRNA from 1 species
AUUGAACGCUGGCGGCGUGCCUAAUACAUGCAAGUCGAACGGAGUGGCGCACGGGUGAGUAAUAUAUAGCUAAUCUGCCCCUUGCUGGAGGACAACAGUUAGAAAUGACUGCUAAUACUCCAUAGCAAGGGAUGAGACUAUAUCGUAUCAGCUAGUCGGUGGGGUAACGGCCUACCGAGGCUAUGACGCGUAACUGGUCUGAGAGGAUGAUCAGUAAAAUUGGAACUGAGACACGGUCCAAACACCUACGGGAGGGAGCAGUAGUGAAUAGUACGCAAUGGGGGAGAACCAUACGGAGCAUCGCCGCGUGGAGGAUGACAAUUUUCGGAGCGUAAACUACUUUUGUUAGGGAAGCGGUACCUAACGAAUAAGCACCGGCUAACUCCGUGCCAGCAGCCGCGGUAAUUC